rnacentral:rRNA from 1 species
UACGUAGGGUGCAAGCGUUGUCCGGAAUUAUUGGGCGUAAAGGGCGCGUAGGCGGCAAGGCAAGUCCGGUGUGAAAGCCCCGGGCUCAACUCGGGAACUGCAUCUGAAACUGCUGUGCUUGAGUCCUGGAGGGGGUAGUGGAAUUCCCAGUGUAGCGGUGAAAUGCGUAGAUAUCAGGAGGAACACCGGUGGCGAAGGCGGCUACCUGGACAGAAACUGACGCUGAGGCGCGAAAGCUAGGGGAGCAAACAGG